rnacentral:rRNA from 1 species
GGGUUUUACUGUCUCCCCCUUUUAAUCGGUGAAACUGAUCUCCCCGUGAAGAAGCGGGGAUAACUAUAUAAGACGAGAAGACCCCAUGGAGCUUUAAACCCAGCAACACCUAUCUUUAUACACCCUUAUAUUCACGUAACUCUACUUGCUCGGUUUUAGGUUGGGGUGACCGCGGAGCACAACAAAACCUCCACGAAAAAAGGACCAACAAUCCUUAUCCAAGAUGCACAUAUCUAAGAAUUAAUAUAUUAACUUUUAAUGAUCCGUUAUUCGAUCAACGAACCAAGUUACCCUGGGGAUAACAGCGCAAUCUACCUCGAGAGCUCCUAUCGACAGGUAGGUUUACGACCUCGAUGUUGGAUCAGGGUAUCCCAGUGGUGCAGCAGCUACUAAAGGUUCGUUUGUUCAACGAUUAAAACCCU